GACGACGCUGGCGGCGUGCCUAAUACAUGCAAGUCGAACGAGUGGCGGACGGGUGAGUAAUGUAUGGGGAUCUGCCCGAUAGAGGGGGAUAACUACUGGAAACGGUAGCUAAUACCGCAUACUAUCGGAUGAACCCAUAUGGGAUUAGCUAGUAGGUGAGGUAAUGGCUCACCUAGGCGACGAUCCCUAGCUGGUCUGAGAGGAUGACCAGCCACACUGGAACUGAGACACGGUCCAGACUCCUACGGGAGGCAGCAGUGGGGAAUAUUGCACAAUGGGCGCAAGCCUGAUGCAGCCAUGCCGCGUGUAUGAAGAAGGCCUUCGGGUUGUAAAGUACUUUCAGCGGGGAGGCGUUACCCGCAGAAGAAGCACCGGCUAACUCCGUGCCAGCAGCCGCGGUAAUAC
rnacentral:rRNA from 1 species